rnacentral:rRNA from 1 species
GGAAUAUUGGACAAUGGGCGAAAGCCUGAUCCAGCGACGCCGCGUGUGUGAAGAAGGCCUGCGGGUUGUAAAGCACUUUCGAUGGGAACGAAAUGUGCCGGGCUAAUAUCCCGGCAAGCUGACGUUACCCAAUGAAGAAGCCCCGGCUAACGCUGUGCCACCAGCCGCGGUAAUACAGAGGGUGCGAGCGUUACUCGGAAUUACUGGGCGUAAAGCGCACGUAGGUGGCGACGUAAGUCGGGUGUGAAAGCCCCGGGCUCAACCUGGGAAUUGCAUUCGAGACUGCAUUGCUGGAGUACGGAAGAGGAGGGCGGAAUUCCCGGUGUAGCGGUGAAAUGCGUAGAUAUCGGGAGGAACAUCAGUGGCGAAGGCGGCCCUCUGGUCCAGUACUGACGCUGAGGUGCGAAAGCGUGGGGAGCAAAC